UAAGAUGGCUUCUUAUUUCUUAUCCUUGCUAGUUGUGUUCCUUGCAGCUCUGAUCCUCAUCCCUCAAGGGUUUAAUGCUGAGGAGGAUUUCUACAAACACCCAAAGUAUGGACAUCAGCCUAUCUACAAGAAGCCACCACAUUACAAGUCACCUGUUUACAAGCCACCCUACAAGAAGCCACCAUACAAGAAGUACCCUCCUUAUGGUAAGCACCCUCCAGUUGAAGACAACACCCAUUUCUAGAACUUGCAAGGAGACAUGUUUGACUUAUAUGUAUUAAAUAAGUGGUCUCGUACCACUGCUUCAAUUCUACUAUCCUAAUUUGCUAAAGCUCUUGUACAAUAGCUUUAGCAAAUUAAUGCUAAGGCCAUGUUGAGAGCAUCAUGUAUGUAUGUGCUGUGAAUGUAAAAUCAAUAAGAGAAAGUUAUGUUUUGUGCUCCGAAUUAUAAAUAAACGUUUUUUAUGACUUCAUAUUGCUUGAUAUGCUAAUUAUAUAUCUUAACUUAGUUCUUAUAAAUAAGUCACUUUCAAUAAUUUAUAUACAAAUUUAGAAAUUAAAACAAACUUGUUAUGCAUGGCAUGCCGGAAAAACAAACCGCACUACUAUACCAAUGUAAUUAUGGCCGACCCAAUCAUCCAGGUCGGCCAAAACACCUAUAGAGCCAAUGCUAUUUUUUGUUGGGCAAGACGACCAAAUAACAUAACAUAUAUAAUAAUUACAAUUAAGUCAGUGAUUAAAGAACGACUUCCAUUCUUUAAUUAACCAACUGCCUUUUCUCUUGUAAUGAAAACAAAAAUUAACCAACUAAUUAUGCUGGACUAUAUUAACUUAUCAACGAUAAUCUUCUAUAUAUAUAUAUGUAAAGCACACUUGAGUUUUAGCAUUAAAUACAUAAGCAAAACUCAAGUGUUGCAAUGUAAUAAGAGAAAAUAGGAGAUGCACUGACAGUAUAAACUUGUUUUACACAUGCACCCAAUUGAUUUCCGCCACAUCAGCAAUUUAUUAAUUUACUAAUUAAAAUUAAAAAGAUUUGUAACUACUUAGUCUUAUGUGACAUAAUGUGAUUGGACGUCAGUGUAAAACUUCUUUACACUGACAGUGCAUAUCCAUUAAACAAUUGUAAUAAAUAUAUUAAACAAUAAUAACAACUAUUCAACAAUAUAAGAAAAAUUGUAAUAAAUAUAUUAAACAAUAAUAAAAUUAAAAUUAAAAAAUUUAUAUUGUCAAAAACUAUUCAACUAUUUAUCUUAAAUAACAACAUUCAUAAACUAAAAAUUUACUUGAGUUUUGUAUUUCACAAAUAUUAAAAAUUAAGUUCAAUAAGAAAAUAAUAUUUAUUAACAAAUAAUUUAGAUAAAAUAGUUUUAAAAUUAAAAAAAUUAUCUAUAUACAUAUGUAAAGGAGACUUGAAAAAAUAGCAUUAAUCACAUUAGCAAUAAGAGCAUUAAACACAUUAAAAAGACUACAAAGUCAUAAAUUAAAAAUAGUUUGUUACCAACUUUUGAGUUUCUUUUUUUUCGAAAGCAAAAAUUAUAUUGAUAUGAUAUUGAGGAAAUAAUCAAGAUAUACACCCUCCUCAAAAGGAUUAGAAAAAACCAGUAGCAGAAAGAAACCCCAACCAUGAAAAGAACCAACCAAGAAAAACAACCCGAACCAAGGACCUAAAACUUUUGAGUUUCUUAUAAAAAAAUAAUUUUUUAAGUAUUAAUUAAAAAUAAUUAGAAUUUUAAUUAUUAAUAAUAAAUUGAGAAAAAAAUUAAAUAUUAAAAAAAACAAAGAAAUAUAUUUAUAUGUAAAUAGUAUUAAAAAUUAGAUUAAUUAAGUAAAAAUGAUAUCUAUUAAUAAAAAUAAUUAAGAAAAAAAAUAUUUGAAAUAUAUCUAUCUAUAUCUUCUAUAAUAUAAAUAUGUACAAAAGACUUGAACCAUAACAUUAAAUACAAUAGUAGAAAUGAAGACCCCUUAUUUAACUCUUUAAAAAAAACUGAUGACUUUUCGUUUUUCAUAUUGCUUACUCACUAUUUUUAAUAAUAAAAAACCAAACUUUGCUAUAUAAACAAAUUAAACACUCAUAAAAUGAAACUAGGUAAUGUUUUCAUAUAUGAACAAAUAUCGAGAAUAAAUAUUAAUUAUUAAUAAAAUAUUAAUUAUGAAUAAAAAAUUUAGACAAAAUAACUUUAAAAUUAAAAUUUUCACAAUAAGGUGUUUGUGUAUUAUUUGGAAAAAAAUUAUACAUUUUUUGAUCUAUUAUAUAUUAGUGAAAAUGACUUAACAAGGAGGAAACUAACUACAAAAAAAAAAUUACGUUAUUUAAUUAUUUUUUGAAAGAACUAUUAAAGUUACGACUUAUUAUAAUUUUAAAAUUACUUUUUUGUUGAUAAAAGCACACAAAAAUUUUUGUUAUUAUUAUAACUUAUUUGAUAAUAUAUUUCAAACUUACAAAUUUUUUUUAGUUUAUAAAAUAAAUGAGUUAGUAAAUAUAAUUCAGUGCUAACUAUUAAAAUAAAUUAUUAGAUUUGAGUAUGUAUUUAUUCACACACAAAAAACUCUAAAUUGUCUCAAGAUUUUUAUAAUACUUAUAAUUAAAAAAUGAUUUUAAUAUUCCUUUAAAGUAUAAUAAUUUUUUGUAAUGAUAAAGAUUAUUGUAAAUAAACCCGUGCAUCGCACGGGUAUUAUAUCUAGUUUUUUUCUAUUACAUAAUAUGUAAAUUUAGUGCUUAUUAUCUAACAUUUACUAUCAUUUUUUUCAUUAAGAUAAAGGUUAAAUGUAAUUUUAGUCCGUGUAAAAUAAGGAUUAAUUGAAAUUCAUUCCUCCAAAAAAAUUAAUAACUUUUAAUCUUGAGCAUUAAUAAAAUAUGUCUCAUCUCAUCAUUUCCGUUCAUUUUGUGGGAAUUUUUUGCAUUAUUGGUAGUCUUUAACCACCCCCAACAAAUACAUUAGUAGCAGUGUAAAUUGCAACAAAAUGCACCCAGGGAUAAACUUGACUUACUUCAUUAACGUUAGCAUAUUUGAAAGGAUUAAAACAAAAUGCACCCAGGGAUAAAAGCUAUAAAGUUUUUUGCGAAAAUCAAAUUGAAAAGAUUAAAACCAUAUUUGACCCUAAAAUCAAUUAUAGCAAGUAAGUUCAUUCACUUUCAAAAAAAAAAAUAAGUUCAUUAAUUGUUUUUGUCUAAUUAAAUAAUUUUUAACUCAAAUCAAGCAUAUUCCCCAACUCCGAAACCUUUGGGGCCUCUCUUUCCAUUUAUCUUGAACAGAAUAUGUGCUUGCCCCAUCAAACGUGAGGUGCUGAGCUAGCUUGUAAAAUUAGUUGAUUCGCAAUUACAGCGUAUUUAGCACUUUCUUGUUACGUGGUCGAAAUAAAAUACUUUAAAACUUUUGUUAAUGAAUAUUAUAUAUAUAUAUAUAUAACUAAUAAAUUUUUUAGAAAGUCAUAUUUAAUGUUGUUAUGAAUUAAGUUGAGUUUCAACAACUUUCAUUGCAAAAAAAGGCUGGCUAUGAAGAUUUUGUUGAAAUAUGACAUAUCAAUCAAUCAACAAGUAGAAAAGAAAUAUUGUUGUUUUUUUUAAUUUUCAACUAACCCCUAGUAAAACUCGAAUAAACAAGUCAUUUUUCAUAAAUUAAAUCUUUGUGAAACAUUUAAAUAAUAAUGUUUUAGCUUUAUUGACACCCAAAAAUAAGGAAAAUUUGGCUAAAUGCAUCGACCGUUAAUUAGCUAAUUUCAAUUGUCUAAAUAUCGUACAGUUUCCAAGCAAUAUUGCUUGCCAAAUUAACCAGCCAGUGCACCAUAAUUCCAAGGCAAUCCUUACAUUUUUAGCUUCUUUAAUUUUAUUUUAUAAGUCCCGCUCUGGGUCUCUUCCUAGUGCCUAGCAUGUCAACAGCACAGUGGAACGUGGACGUACUUAUGUCGCAAUCUCCAAUGACUACCCAAAAUGGUAACAUCUGUCGGCAGUGCACUAUCCCACCCCUCACUCAUUUACUUGAAGAACCUAAAGCCUUAUCAUAACACAUGUUCCUAAAUAACCAUAAAUCAUUGAGUUAUAAAAGUUAUAUUAUAUAUAUGAAGAAUACAUAAUUCAGUUUUUAAUAAACUACAAACUGAAAAUUAAAAUACAAUGACUGAUUUACUGAUUCCCUUUCUAAUGAAAUGUUGGUAAGUUUUUAUGACAUAUUGCAGAGGUACUAUAUAUUCAUUUCUUUUUCUAUAAUCUCAUAGAAUGUCAUUAAUAUCUAGCGCGCUUUCUCAAACAGUUGUACAUGACACACCAGUUAAAUAAUCUAACCUCAACAUUUAACCCCAGAAAGGGGAAAAAAAAAAACUCGCUUCACUUUUGUGUAGGUAACAAUUAUGAAAAAACUGCUUCAAAAUACCAAAGAAAAUGUAGCCCAACUCAUACAAACGGUUGAGUAUGACUCAUAAGUAAUGUCAAGGGGGUGGUGAAGCUACGGAGCGUUCUCGACCCUUGAGUUUAACACAACUGUUUGUUUGGAGGAUGCGACUUGGGUGUGGAGGGUACGGAAGGUUUCGCUCCCGCAGUAAAAUUUAGGGGUAUUGUUAUAAUUUGUAUUAUUAGUAUCCCUAUACAUAUAUAUACUUGUAAUUAACACUAUAACCCUCAUGUAUUCGAAAUACUAAUUAAUAAACAGAAUUAUAACUGUUCUAUAGUCACAUAUCUGAGAAUAGAUUUACCCUAUAUUAAUAUGAAUAUUUUUUUUAGUGGACACACAAGUGGCCAACAAGUGGGAGUACGUCCAUGAAUUUAAAGGAUUGGCACUAUUAAUCAUACCGAUCACGUGUGGCUCUUAGUUUCCUACUAUUAUUUAAAUGGGACCAAAGUUUCUUAUCAUUUUUGAAUAAUCCACACCCAACUUUGACGAUUAGGGUAGUGAGUGUUCAAAUAAUAAAUGACUUGGAUAGAGACCUUGUACUCCCAUUGAGACCUCUCACAGUCUCACUACUAUAAAAAUGGACCAUUCCGUGCAUGUAAAAAGUACACUAAUAUUAAACAAUAAUGAUAUUAAAGAGAGGUGUGAAGAUAACAUUAUUCAAUAAUCAAUAUCAAGAGCAUUUUCAAUGGAGAUUUUAAAUUGUGAUUUAAAAAUAAAAUCUGGAUUUAAUGAAAUUCCACCAUCAAAGCUAUUCUACGUGGCAUGAGAUCUUAGUAAAAACUAAAAUUCGUACCUUAGCUCAACAACCUUCGGAACUGAAAUCUUAAUAUGAUUCUCUCAUUCAAUACCCGAAUUCAAUAAAAUAUGUUUUCUCUUUCAUGUUGAGUUUUAAUUAUAUAUUUCCUACCAUGAUAAAUUUUAAUUAUAUUAUAUCUUUUUCAAAGAUUAAUGAAGUUGUCCCCGAAUGAUAACUCGAAUGGUAAAAGUUAUGAGAUAUAUGAGUUGGGUGGGGAGGUUCAGAGAUCAAUUCUUAAAUGGUGCAAUUUAUCUUUCCGAUUUACCAAAAAAAAAUAUUAAUGAAGUUGUAUUUAACUAAUAAUUAAAUUUAAUAUUUGAUGAAAAUAAAUAAUUAUAUUAAGUAUUGUAGGUCUAACCAAAGGUAAAAUAAAAUUUCAACCACUGAAGCGAAUUGUGCACUGGAACCUUAUGAAUGCCUUAAAUCUUAUGUUGCAGUAUAGAUCCAUAAAAUAUGAGUUAAGUCUCAAAUUAAGAUCUUUUUGUUAGAGAUUCUCUAGAUGGCUUCGUAUUUCUUAUCCUUGCUAGUUGUUCCUUGCAGCUCUGAUCCUCAUCCCUGAAGGGUUUAAUGCUGAGGAGGAUUUCUACAAACACCCAAAGUAUGGACAUCAUCCUAUCUACAAGUUAAGAAGCCACCAUAUUACAAGCCACUGCUUAAUUACAAGCCAAUAGCCAACAGUGUUCAAGUCACCUUACAAGAAGACACCAUACAAGAAGCACCCUCCUUAGUCCUUAUGGUAAGCAC
rnacentral:lncRNA from 1 species